rfam:Picea glauca, whole genome shotgun sequence.
GGGGAAAUGAUGAGAUGAUUUUCCCCGUAUGAUCGACUAUGAUUCCAUCAAAUUAUUUUUUCUCUUUAGAGUUCAAGCUAGUCGAUUAUGAUCCCC